UACGAAGGGUGCAAGCGUUAAUCGGAAUUACUGGGCGUAAAGCGCGCGUAGGUGGUUCAGUAAGUUGGAAGUGAAAUCCCCGGGCUCAACCUGGGAACUGCUUUCAAAACUGCUGAGCUAGAGUACGGUAGAGGGUGGUGGAAUUUCUUGUGUAGCGGUGAAAUGCGUAGAUAUAGGAAGGAACACCAGUGGCGAAGGCGACCACCUGGACUGAUACUGACACUGAGGUGCGAAAGCGUGGGGAGCAAACAGG
rnacentral:rRNA from 1 species